UUUGGAAGCUCUCCACUUGGAAAAAAAAACUUUCAUAAUUGUUGAAUUUCCAUCUUUACCUUCACUUUAUUUGUAUGUUUACUAUUUUAUAAACUAAUGUGUUAACUUGGCUGUGAAAUUGAGUUUUAUAUCAUGGAGCAUUACCAUUUCUGUGUUUUUCUGUGAUAUCAUAGUUUUUCAAAAUAUCUGUUGUCAGCGUGUGUAUAGACCUUUAUAUGACCUUUUGAAGAUGACAACAUCAUUGACAGGUCCCUACUGGGCUCCUUGAACAGUUAUCAUGACUUUUUGGUGUCAUUAAAU
rnacentral:lncRNA from 1 species